rnacentral:lncRNA from 1 species
GGAAACAAAACACUGACGGGGCGAGCGGGCAGCGAGCGGUGGAAAAAAACCAAACCCGCGGCACAGUUAUCCGCGACCAAGCGAGCACACCCGCAGCGCCCUCGCCUUCACAGCACCCGCCGCAGCUGGGCCCGAGCGCCCGGAGCGGGCAGGUGCACGGGGCGCACGGGGCGGCGGCUUUGUCCCCGGGAGCCGUGCCCGCCGCCGCGCUUUGUUCGCCGCCCGCCCGGGCACAACGCGCCGCAUCCCCGCCCGGUCCCGCCGCCAUCCCGCUCGGCCCGGCCCGGCCCCGAGCCCGGGGGCACACAGCCCUCCCCUCCCGGAGCCCCCUCCCCGCGGCCCGCCCGGCCUCGGCGCGCAGACACGCGGACGGACCGACCGACGUUCGAGCGGCCGCGGGGAGCGCCGCGCCCACCGCCCACCACCCGCCGUCGGCCCUCGGUCCCGCCGCCGCCCCGGGGCCGCUCCCACCGCCCCUUCCCCCCGCACCGGGCUAAAAUUAGACUAAAAUGGCCGCCGGAGGCCGCGGGGUCUGAGCGAGCCGCGCCGGGCCCGCUCGGCCUCUGGGCUCCGGAGCCGCCUCCCCGCUCGGCCGCGGCGCGCCGCCCUUACCAUGGCGCCGGGUCCGGGGCGGCGGCGGCUGCCUGCGGUGCGGGGCUGUGCGCGCAGGAGAGCGCUGCGCUGCGCUGCGCUGGGGGCGAGGCGGGCGGGGACUCGGGCCGGGCGGGGGAUGAGCCGCGGCGGCCGGGGAGGGCCGGUCACAUGGGCAGCGCCGCCACCACGUGCCACCGGCCCGGCCCGGCCCGCCCCGCCCGGCAAUCCGCGCCCGCAGCCGGGGCUCGCGGGGCCGCCCCCCGCGGGGAAGGGCCUGGAGGCGGCGGCAGGAAGCCGGGCUUCCUCUCAUGGCCCGCUCGCCCGGGCCGCCGUUUACUUGUGCGCCCUGUCCGCAGCCCCACGCGGUGUCUGACCGGCCCCCUGUGCUGGCGAGGUGCGGCCGAGCGGGCGGCCCGGUGA